UGUGUGCCUCUAUUGGUCUUUUAGAGGCACCUUAAUGAGAAAUAGGGGCGGCUCGGGGGCAUUUGUAUUCAAUUGCUAGAGGUGAAAUUCUUGAAUUUAUUGAAGACAAACUACUGCGAAAGCAUUUGCCAAGGACGCUUUCAUUGAUCAAGAACGAAGGUCGGGGGAUCGAAAACGAUUAGAUACCGUUGUAGUCUCGACAGUAAACUAUGCCAACCGGCGAUGGGUGGGGGCUUUUUUAAUGACCCCAUCUGCAGCCAAAGAGAAAUCUUGAGUGCGGUUCGUGGGGGAGUACGGUCACAAGGCUGAAACUUAAAGGAAUUGACGGAAGGGCACCACCAGGAGUGGAGCCUGCGGCUUAAUUUGACUCAACACGG
rnacentral:rRNA from 1 species